rnacentral:rRNA from 1 species
UGGGGAAUAUUGCACAAUGGAGGGAACUCUGAUGCAGCGACGCCGCGUGAACGAAGAAGGCUUUCGAGUCGUAAAGUUCUUUUCUAUGGGAAGAUAAUGACGGUACCAUAAGAAAAAGCCCCGGCUAACUACGUGCCAGCAGCCGCGGUAAUACGUAGGGGGCUAGCGUUUUCCGGAAUCACUGGGCGUAAAGGGUUCGCAGGCGGAAAUGCAAGUCAGGUGUAAAAGGCAGUAGCUUAACUACUGUAAGCAUUUGAAACUGCAUAUCUUGAGAAGAGUAGAGGUAAGUGGAAUUUUUAGUGUAGCGGUGAAAUGCAUAGAUAUUAAAAAGAAUACCGGUGGCGAAGGCGACUUACUGGGCUCAUUCUGACGCUGAGGAACGAAAGCGUGGGUAGCAAACAGG